rnacentral:rRNA from 1 species
AGUGAACGCUGGCGGUAGGCCUAACACAUGCAAGUCGAACGGCAGCACAGUAAGCGCUUGCUCUUACGGGUGGCGAGUGGCGGACGGGUGAGGAAUACAUCGGAAUCUACUUUUUCGUGGGGGAUAACGUAGGGAAACUUACGCUAAUACCGCAUACGACCUACGGGUGAAAGCAGUGGAUCUUCGGACCUUGCGCGUUUGUAUUAGCCGAUGUCGGAUUAGCUAGUUGGCGGGGUAAAGGCCCACCAAGGCGACGAUCCGUAGCUGGUCUGAGAGGAUGAUCAGCCACACUGGAACUGAGACACGGCCCAGACUCCUACGGGAGGCAGCAGUGGGGAAUAUUGGACAAUGGGCGCAAGCCUGAUCCAGCCAUACCGCGUGGGUGAAGAAGGCCUUCGGGUUGUAAAGCCCUUUUGUUGGGAAAGAAAAGCAGCAGGUUAAUACCCCGCUGUUCUGACGGUACCCAAAGAAUAAGCACCGGCUAACUUCGU